rnacentral:rRNA from 1 species
GGGUUGUGAGGUUAAGCGACUAAGCGUACACGGUGGAUGCCCUGGCAGUCAGAGGCGAUGAAGGGCGUGCUAAUCUGCGAUAAGCGCCGGUAAGGUGAUAUGAACCGUUAUAACCGGCGAUACCCGAAUGGGGAAACCCAGUGUGACUCGUCACACUAUCAUUAACUGAAUCCAUAGGUUAAUGAGGCGAACCGGGGGAACUGAAACAUCUAAGUACCCCGAGGAAAAGAAAUCAACCGAGAUUCCCCCAGUAGCGGCGAGCGAACGGGGAGGAGCCCAGAGCCUGAAUCAGCAUGUGUGUUAGUGGAAGCGUCUGGAAAGGCGCGCGAUACAGGGUGACAGCCCCGUACACAAAAGCGCAUGUGUUGUGAGCUCGAUGAGUAGGGCGGGACACGUGGUAUCCUGUCUGAAUAUGGGGGGACCAUCCUCCAAGGCUAAAUACUCCUGACUGACCGAUAGUGAACCAGUACCGUGAGGGAAAGGCGAAAAGAACCCCGGCGAGGGGAGUGAAAAAGAACCUGAAACCGUGUACGUACAAGCAGUGGGAGCACAGGUUUACCUGUGUGACUGCGUACCUUUUGUAUAAUGGGUCAGCGACUUAUAUUCUGUAGCAAGGUUAACCGUAUAGGGGAGCCGUAGGGAAACCGAGUCUUAACCGGGCGUUAAGUUGCAGGGUAUAGACCCGAAACCCGGUGAUCUAGCCAUGGGCAGGUUGAAGGUUGGGUAACACUAACUGGAGGACCGAACCGACUAAUGUUGAAAAAUUAGCGGAUGACCUGUGGCUGGGGGUGAAAGGCCAAUCAAACCGGGAGAUAGCUGGUUCUCCCCGAAAGCUAUUUAGGUAGCGCCUCGUGAAUUCAUCUUCGGGGGUAGAGCACUGUUUCGGCUAGGGGGCCAUCCCGGCUUACCAACCCGAUGCAAACUGCGAAUACCGGAGAAUGUUAUCACGGGAGACACACGGCGGGUGCUAACGUCCGUCGUGAAGAGGGAAACAACCCAGACCGCCAGCUAAGGUCCCAAAGUCAUGGUUAAGUGGGAAACGAUGUGGGAAGGCCCAGACAGCCAGGAUGUUGGCUUAGAAGCAGCCAUCAUUUAAAGAAAGCGUAAUAGCUCACUGGUCGAGUCGGCCUGCGCGGAAGAUGUAACGGGGCUAAACCAUGCACCGAAGCUGCGGCAGCGAACGUAUCACUUAAAGCGAUUCAGCGGGUUACGAUUGACGGAGCGAAGCGACGUCAAAGCGUAUACAAAGUCGAGUCGGUUUAAGGAUACGUUCGUUGGGUAGGGGAGCGUUCUGUAAGCCUGUGAAGGUGGCCUGUGAGGGUUGCUGGAGGUAUCAGAAGUGCGAAUGCUGACAUAAGUAACGAUAAAGCGGGUGAAAAGCCCGCUCGCCGGAAGACCAAGGGUUCCUGUCCAACGUUAAUCGGGGCAGGGUGAGUCGACCCCUAAGGCGAGGCCGAAAGGCGUAGUCGAUGGGAAACGGGUUAAUAUUCCCGUACUUGGUGUUACUGCGAAGGGGGGACGGAGAAGGCUAUGUUGGCCGGGCGACGGUUGUCCCGGUUUAAGCGUGUAGGUGUGUGUUCCAGGUAAAUCCGGUUCACUUUAACACUGAGGCGUGAUGACGAGGCACUACGGUGCUGAAGCAACAAAUGCCCUGCUUCCAGGAAAAGCCUCUAAGCAUCAGGUAACAUCAAAUCGUACCCCAAACCGACACAGGUGGUCAGGUAGAGAAUACCAAGGCGCUUGAGAGAACUCGGGUGAAGGAACUAGGCAAAAUGGUGCCGUAACUUCGGGAGAAGGCACGCUGACACGUAGGUGAAGUGAUUUACUCAUGGAGCUGAAGUCAGUCGAAGAUACCAGCUGGCUGCAACUGUUUAUUAAAAACACAGCACUGUGCAAACACGAAAGUGGACGUAUACGGUGUGACGCCUGCCCGGUGCCGGAAGGUUAAUUGAUGGGGUCAGCGCAAGCGAAGCUCCUGAUCGAAGCCCCGGUAAACGGCGGCCGUAACUAUAACGGUCCUAAGGUAGCGAAAUUCCUUGUCGGGUAAGUUCCGACCUGCACGAAUGGCGUAAUGAUGGCGAGGCUGUCUCCACCCGAGACUCAGUGAAAUUGAACUCGCUGUGAAGAUGCAGUGUACCCGCGGCAAGACGGAAAGACCCCGUGAACCUUUACUAUAGCUUGACACUGAACAUUGAGCCUUGAUGUGUAGGAUAGGUGGGAGGCUUUGAAGUGUGGACGCCAGUCUGCAUGGAGCCGACCUUGAAAUACCACCCUUUAAUGUUUGAUGUUCUAACGUGGACCCGUUACCCGGGUUGCGGACAGUGUCUGGUGGGUAGUUUGACUGGGGCGGUCUCCUCCUAAAGAGUAACGGAGGAGCACGAAGGUUGGCUAAUCCUGGUCGGACAUCAGGAGGUUAGUGCAAUGGCAUAAGCCAGCUUGACUGCGAGCGUGACGGCGCGAGCAGGUGCGAAAGCAGGUCAUAGUGAUCCGGUGGUUCUGAAUGGAAGGGCCAUCGCUCAACGGAUAAAAGGUACUCCGGGGAUAACAGGCUGAUACCGCCCAAGAGUUCAUAUCGACGGCGGUGUUUGGCACCUCGAUGUCGGCUCAUCACAUCCUGGGGCUGAAGUAGGUCCCAAGGGUAUGGCUGUUCGCCAUUUAAAGUGGUACGCGAGCUGGGUUUAGAACGUCGUGAGACAGUUCGGUCCCUAUCUGCCGUGGGCGCUGGAGAACUGAGGGGGGCUGCUCCUAGUACGAGAGGACCGGAGUGGACGCAUCACUGGUGUUCGGGUUGUCAUGCCAAUGGCACUGCCCGGUAGCUAAAUGCGGAAGAGAUAAGUGCUGAAAGCAUCUAAGCACGAAACUUGCCCCGAGAUGAGUUCUCCCUGAGACUUAAAGUCUCCUGAAGGAACGUUGAAGACGACGACGUUGAUAGGCCGGGUGUGUAAGCGCAGCGAUGCGUUGAGCUAACCGGUACUAAUGAACCGUGAGGCUUAACCUUACAACGCCGAAG